rnacentral:rRNA from 1 species
CGGCGUGCCUAACACAUGCAAGUCGAACGCACUCUCGUUUAGAUUGAAGGAGCUUGCUCCUGAUUGAUAAGCAUUUGAGUGAGUGGCGGACGGGUGAGUAACACGUGGGUAACCUGCCCUAAAGUGGGGGAUAACAUUUGGAAACAGAUGCUAAUACCGCAUAAAACCUAGCACCGCAUGGUGCAGGGUUGAAAGGUGGUUUCGGCUAUCACUUUAGGAUGGACCCGCGGUGCAUUAGUUAGUUGGUGAGGUAAAGGCUCACCAAGACCGUGAUGCAUAGCCGACCUGAGAGGGUAAUCGGCCACACUGGGACUGAGACACGGCCCAGACUCCUACGGGAGGCAGCAGUAGGGAAUCUUCCACAAUGGACGAAAGUCUGAUGGAGCAACGCCGCGUGAGUGAAGAAGGUUUUCGGAUCGUAAACUCUGUUGUUGGAGAAGAAUGUAUCUGAUAGUAACUGAUCAGGUAGUGACGGUAUCCAACCAGAAAGCCACGGCUAACUACGUG